AAGAAGUAGCCUAGAGAGUUCCUAUCCUGUGCUCAAAAGACUGGCUCAAAACAGAAGGUUUACAAAACUAUCACAUGUCAAGUGAAAGAGCCUGGUCCCCUCUUUAUUGCUCAUGACAGGAAGAAAAGAAAGAAUGAAAUAAAGCCAAAUGAAUACAGUAAAAGAAAGCAUCAGAUUACCUGCAAGUAUGGGAACACGGACAUUUGACAGCUUAGUGGAAAGAAAGAUGU
rnacentral:lncRNA from 1 species